AAGCGUGACGAUGCUAGUUUGAAGACCGUUCGUGUGGCCAGUCGGCGACCUGUUUGGAAACUGUGACUAUAUGAAGAAGUGUUCGAUUCGCGGUAUGAUUGGCUUCGGCUGGACUACGUUUAUUGGAUGUUUUUUCGGUUAUGGUAGUACGAACGGGUGAACCGUAGCUAUGCAUGUGACUGGUUUUCUUACCUGUGUUGUUGCUGCGAAGUAAAGCGUCAACUUCGGUUGUUGAGGGUCAGCCUAUUUGGGAAAUGUGAAGUAAAGCUUCGGCUGCACUUUACCUCAAACGGACCUGAUAUUAGGCAAGAUUACCCGCUGAACUUAAGCAUAUCAAUAAGCGGAGGA
rnacentral:rRNA from 1 species